UGGGGAAUUUUGGACAAUGGGCGAAAGCCUGAUCCAGCAAUGCCGCGUGUGUGAAGAAGGCCUUCGGGUUGUAAAGCACUUUUGUCCGGAAAGAAAUCCUUGGCUCUAAUACAGUCGGGGGAUGACGGUACCGGAAGAAUAAGCACCGGCUAACUACGUGCCAGCAGCCGCGGUAAUACGUAGGGUGCAAGCGUUAAUCGGAAUUACUGGGCGUAAAGCGUGCGCAGGCGGUUUGCUAAGACCGAUGUGAAAUCCCCGGGCUCAACCUGGGAACUGCAUUGGUGACUGGCAGGCUAGAGUAUGGCAGAGGGGGGUAGAAUUCCACGUGUAGCAGUGAAAUGCGUAGAGAUGUGGAGGAAUACCGAUGGCGAAGGCAGCCCCCCUGGGCCAAUACUGACGCUCAUGCACGAAAGCGUGGGGAGCAAACAGGAUUAGAUACCCUGGUAGUCCACGCCCUAAAACGAUGUCAACUAGUUGUUGGGGAUUCAUUUCCUUAGUAACGUAGCUAACGCGUGAAGUUGACCGCCUGGGGAGUACGGUCGCAAGAUUAAAACUCAAAGGAAUUGACGGGGUCAUAGCGUUUCCU
rnacentral:rRNA from 1 species